rnacentral:misc_RNA from 1 species
GAUGAAGAACGCAGUGAAAUGCGAUACGUAAUGUGAAUUGCAGAAUUCAGUGAAUCAUCGAAUCUUUGAACGCAUAUUGCGCUCUCUGGUAUUCCGGAGAGCAUGCUUGUUUGAGUAUCAGUAAACACCUCAACUUCCAUAUCUUUUUUGAAAUGGGAGUUGGACUUGAGUGAUCCCAACGCUUUUCCUCACCGAGAAGUGGCGGGUUACUUGAAAUGCAGGUGCAGCUGGACUUUUCUCUGAGCUAUAAGCAUAUCUAUUUAGUCUGCCUAAAAAACAGAUUAUUACCUUUGCUGCAGCUAACAUAAAGGAGAUUAGUUCUUGUGCUGACUGAUGCAGGAUUCACAAAGACAGGCUUCGGCCGACUUUGUAAACUCGAUCUCAAAUCAAGAAAGACUACCCGCUGAACUUAAGCAUAUCAAUAAGCGGAGGA